rnacentral:rRNA from 1 species
GACGAACGCUGGCGGCGUGCCUAAUACAUGCAAGUUGAGCGCUGAAGGUUGGUACUUGUACCAACUGGAUGAGCAGCGAACGGGUGAGUAACGCGUGGGGAAUCUGCCUUUGAGCGGGGGACAACAUUUGGAAACGAAUGCUAAUACCGCAUAAAAACUUUAAACACAAGUUUUAAGUUUGAAAGAUGCAAUUGCAUCACUCAAAGAUGAUCCCGCGUUGUAUUAGCUAGUUGGUGAGGUAAAGGCUCACCAAGGCGAUGAUACAUAGCCGACCUGAGAGGGUGAUCGGCCACAUUGGGACUGAGACACGGCCCAAACGCCUACGGGAGGCAGCAGUAGGGAAUCUUCGGCAAUGGACGAAAGUCUGACCGAGCAACGCCGCGUGAGUGAAGAAGGUUUUCGGAUCGUAAAACUCUGUUGGUAGAGAAGAACGUUGGUGAGAGUGGAAAGCCCAUCAAGUGACGGUAACUACCCAGAAAGGGACGGCUAACUACGUG